rnacentral:rRNA from 1 species
GAACUGAAACAUCUAAGUACCCCGAGGAAAAGAAAUCAACCGAGAUUCCCCCAGUAGCGGCGAGCGAACGGGGAGCAGCCCAGAGCCUGAAUCAGUGUGUGUGUUAGUGGAAGCGUCUGGAAAGGCGUGCGAUACAGGGUGACAGCCCCGUACACAAAAAUGCACAUGCUGUGAGCUCGAUGAGUAGGGCGGGACACGUGGUAUCCUGUCUGAAUAUGGGGGGACCAUCCUCCAAGGCUAAAUACUCCUGACUGACCGAUAGUGAACCAGUACCGUGAGGGAAAGGCGAAAAGAACCCCGGCGAGGGGAGUGAAAAAGAACCUGAAACCGUGUACGUACAAGCAGUGGGAGCACGCUUAGGCGUGUGACUGCGUACCUUUUGUAUAAUGGGUCAGCGACUUAUAUUCUGUAGCAAGGUUAACCGAAUAGGGGAGCCGAAGGGAAACCGAGUCUUAACUGGGCGUUAAGUUGCAGGGUAUAGACCCGAAACCCGGUGAUCUAGCCAUGGGCAGGUUGAAGGUUGGGUAACACUAACUGGAGGACCGAACCGACUAAUGUUGAAAAAUUAGCGGAUGACUUGUGGCUGGGGGUGAAAGGCCAAUCAAACCGGGAGAUAGCUGGUUCUCCCCGAAAGCUAUUUAGGUAGCGCCUCGUGAAUUCAUCUCCGGGGGUAGAGCACUGUUUCGGCAAGGGGGUCAUCCCGACUUACCAACCCGAUGCAAACUGCGAAUACCGGAGAAUGUUAUCACGGGAGACACACGGCGGGUGCUAACGUCCGUCGUGAAGAGGGAAACAACCCAGACCGCCAGCUAAGGUCCCAAAGUCAUGGUUAAGUGGGAAACGAUGUGGGAAGGCCCAGACAGCCAGGAUGUUGGCUUAGAAGCAGCCAUCAUUUAAAGAAAGCGUAAUAGCUCACUGGUCGAGUCGGCCUGCGCGGAAGAUGUAACGGGGCUAAACCAUGCACCGAAGCUGCGGCAGCGACGCU